UGAAAAAGUAGUGAAAAUUAGCGGCGAAUGCUGUCCGGAUAUACAAACACUCAUACAUUCAUAAACAACUGGGCGAAAAAUGCAGCCAGCAGUUGCUCUGAGCAAAAGAGUUUCGAAGCGGUCGCCGUCGUGUACGUACGUAAAUGCGUGAGUGGGCGCGUGUCGCAGAGCGCUAGUGAAGAUUAAAGAAAAAUAAAAAUAAAUGAAAUAGUGAAAAACAAUAACAAGCAUAUUGUAGACAAACCGAGCAAAGUGUAAAAAUAUUUUUAAAUAAAUAAAUGAAACACGAGUAUUGCAAUGAAAUACGCUGCUGCUGUAUAAAAGCAUAAAAUGUGUGGCUUGAAAAUAAAGUAGAAAAAAGUGUUGGCGCAGGAAGUGGAGUUAGCAAAAACAAAAACGAUACUCAGUGCCUCUACGACAGAACGUUGACGUCGGUGUAACCGCGACGGUUCCUAACGAAAUCGAACGACUUUUACAAAAGUGUAUAAACAUUUAUGAAACAAAUAUUGUGCAAGCUACAGCUAGAAGAGUUGCCUCCAAUUCAUGAAAAAUAACUUCAAACUCCGCUGGCAACACCCUUUGUACUAUACUCACCAUGCUCAGCAGUUCGUAAGCUGCCAAUUAGGCAACAUUUCAACAUACCAGAUGUCAAAUUGAAUUACGAAAGGUAAACAAAAGGAAAAACGAAAACUUUGCAAGAUUGUGAAAAUGGUUAUCAGCAGACCGCAGGACACUGAACGGGCUGAGUGAUUGCAAGUCAAAUGCUAAGCCACGACAGCAGAGGACCUGUGUGGCUGUGUGGUGAAUUAGAGCGCACUAAUUUGACAGCAAGUGGUAGAAAAAUAAGUGAGAGAGUGCCAGUAUUUUUUAAGAGAGGAUAGAGUGAGCGCAACUGCAGCAAGGCUCGCUACUGCUGACUUCUGCUGCCUGACAAGCCUGGCAAACUACCAGUCAUAGACAGAAGUGAGCAGCACAGCGUAGGUAGCUGUCCAACGAACAUAAAAGCGGAUGAAAAUUUCGAACGAUGUGACGCGAAAAAAAAUCAUUACUUUAUAAAGUGUUUGCAAAAAGAAAGAAAUUAUCAAAAUUUAAAGUGAAUUGGAAAUUUGUGAACGAAAAAGUUGAACGCAAUGAAAAAAUCUAUGCAGAACGCAAAUAACUGGCUGCGCUAAGCGUUGUUGGCGACGUCGCAAGGAAAAAAAAUUUUUGGGUGUGAAAACGAAAGUGAAAAUUUAGCACAGAAACAAGAAACGAGUGCGCGCGUACGAGGUGGAGACGGCGAAAGCGUCAGUGCGGUUGGCGGUGAGUCCUCCCCUGUGACGACGGUAGGCGAUAGUAGCAAGGAGCGCACAGUGACGCUAACAGCGCGGCGUGGAACGUAUGGAACGUAUCGCAAGCGUUGUUUAGCUAGCAGCAAGGAUGCUGUGCAGCGCAAACGGCAGCUAAGAAGACCUGAACAACAACAACAACAACAGAGAAAACUAGGAAAAUGUGCGCAGCGUUGACGUUGACGCUGACUGCGACACUCACUGAGCCCCAACAACCGUGUUAGAUUUGCAUGUAUGUAUGUGCAGAGGAACUUGGCUCAAAAAAUAUACAUACAUAUAUACAUCACAUAAACACUUUCACGAAAAUCAAACCGACAAAAAGUCUUGACGACAACAUACUUCAAAUUCCUCACAUAUUUACAUUCGUGCUGUACGUACGCAGGUGCGUGCGUUCGUGUGCGCCGAGAUUUUGUGUGUCACGUGAAUAGCUUUGCAGCGCCUAAAUUUAUCCUAUAAAUAGUUUACGUGCACCCAAAGACCAAAAAAAAAACUCCCAAAAGUACGUAUGUAGGGGCGAACGCCGUUUAGCGCCUGUAAAUAUGCUACAUUUGGCAAUUUGGUGUGAAAGCAAAGCCAAAGCGAAUGCAAAACAGCUGAGUGGCGGAGCCAACGACGGCAGGUUAACGCCUAAAAGUGUGCUAAACUAAGGGCAGACGCUGACUGUGUGUGUGUAUAUGUAUAUGCGUGCAAACGGCCAAAAGUAUGCAAUGUAUUAUGUAAAACAGAAAGUGAAGAAAUUUUGGGCAAGGCAAGCAGACGACGCGAAGGCUGUGACUUUUUAAAAAUUCGAGUGCGAAAAUAUUAAAAAAAUAAUAUUUUCAUUAA